GCCGGGGCGGCUCCGCGCCGCGCGGGCAGGAGCGCCCGUGUCCUGUCCCCGGCCAGAGCCCAGCGCUGCCGCGGAGCCAGAACUGUGAACGAUCCUGGGCUUGGCUUGACCUUGAUUUUGAUAGCUUUGCUGGAAGAUUUGGUGAUGUGAUUGCACUUCAUGA